rnacentral:lncRNA from 1 species
AGUGAAGUAACUCCAAACGGCAAGCAAGUUGAAAAACAGAGAGAUGCAGCGGACAAGAGUUUUGAUGCAGUGGAUUUGGAUGGAUGCAGUGGAGUUUGAUGUUCCGCUAAUGGUGGAAAUGUUUGGAAUAUCCUCUCAGCUCAGAAGGCCUUCCCACUAUGGAAGGAAGCUAGAGGAAAGGGUAGAGAAAGUGAAGAGAAUAGGUGACUCAAGAGCAAGGAAAGCUGGAAAUUCAUUUCUGCAGCAUAACAUUCAAGCUCUAAAGUGAUUUUACAAAGGAGGAGACCCUCUUAUUUAUAGGUGAAGAGGGGUCUCAUUUCUGAUCCAAAUCCUUCCUAAAAUUCAAAUACAUUUGCAUANGAUGCGCGCCAUUUCCAGGCAGCAAGAUCCAUGCCUCCUUCCAAAUCAGCUAACUCACAUGGGUCACAUUUCCUUGCUGGCGCUAAGCGGUAUAUGGUGGCGCUGAGCGCUGCCUGGCUGCCUCCUUCUUUACUUCUUGGAUCAACUUCUCCAAGCUUUAUUUAGGCCCUACAAAACAAAGUAAACAUGUUUUAAAAUAUAAUCCUUCUAAGACUUUAGAGAAAGAAACUCAAGAAAGCUUUAGAAAGUCUUUCUUUAACUUCCCUUUCUUAGUCUUAGCUUGAGUUGCUGCUCCUUUGAGUGGUUUUCCUAAUUAGGAUUCCAUCAACUGCCCAGCGUCAAUCGCCAUGCCUACUCCUCGUCCUGGACCGCCCGACGGUUUAAGUGUGCCGCCAGGCGGUGCGUCGACUCUUCAAAUCUUCAUUUUUCUGCUCUUUUCUUGAUUCAACGACCUGUAUCUUUAACUCCAUUCUUCAAUUUCUCAAAAUAGCUACAAAACAAUGCAAAACAAGCAUAAAAUCGCUAAAAACAGCUUUUUCCUCUCUAAAGACUCAUUUAUUGAGUUUUGCUUGAUUCUAGGCUCAUUCCAAGUAGUAAAGGGUGUAAUGCGGUCCAAAUUGACAUAUGAAAAUAACUAUUUUUCAACCUUCAACAACCCCGA